GUUGGCGGAAAGCAGGAAGUAAUCGAAGUCGCUCGUAUUUGAGAUAGAGCUUUGUUCGGAGUCACUCGGUCCUUGUAGCGAGAACCGGACAAAUAAGAUGAUGCGUGAUCUCGCCUUCACCAUCGCACCGCCCGCCACCGGAGUAGAGUUCAUCCAUACAACCUGGAGCCACUGCGGUCAUCUACAGUGCGUUUCCAGAGGUUUUUUUUGCCAUGUACCAUCCGACUUUAGAAUGAGCUCCCCACCACGGUGUUUCUCGAGCGCUAUCACAUGCUCUUCUUCGAACGAGGCUUGUGAAGGAUACUUAACGGUAGGCAGCAGUUUUGCUCUGCCUGUGGCAUUGCUGAAGUCCACGGGCGACGUUAACCACCCACCAUCGGGUGGGCCGUGUGCUCUUCUGCCUACAAGGGCAAUAAAAAUAAAAAAAACAUGUUGGAAUGGCGCUGGCAAAUCUCUGUACGUAUAUAAUACAGCAGAUAACAUGAUCCUGUCUACAUCUCAGAGUAGUUAUAACCGUGAACUACCACCAAAGUAGCCAGUGGGCGUGGCGGGAGAAUCCAGAAAUGACCGCUCGAUUGUACCAAAGUUCACAGAAUAAAGACUACGCAUAGUGAUAAAGCGAUACUAUGAGAAGAUAUA